rnacentral:rRNA from 1 species
AGUGAACGCUGGCGGUAGGCCUAACACAUGCAAGUCGAACGGCAGCACAGUAAGAGCUUGUUCUUACGGGUGGCGAGUGGCGGACGGGUGCGGAAUACACCGGAAUCUACUUUUUCGUGGGGGAUAACGUAGGGAAACUUACGCUAAUACCGCAUACGACAUACGGGUGAAAGCAGGGGAUCUUCGGACCUUGCGCGUUUGAAUGAGCCGAUGUCGGAUUAGCUAGUUGGCGGGGUAAAGGCCCACCAAGGCGACGAUCCGUAGCUGGUCUGAGAGGAUGAUCAGCCACACUGGAACUGAGACACGGUCCAGACUCCUACGGGAGGCAGCAGUGGGGAAUAUUGGACAAUGGGCGCAAGCCUGAUCCAGCCAUGCCGCGUGGGUGAAGAAGGCCUUCGGGUUGUAAAGCCCUUUUGUUUGGAAAGAAAAGCAGCAGGUUAAUACCCCGCUGUUCUGACGGUACCCAAAGAAUAAGCACCGGCUAACUUCGUG